UACGUAGGGUGCAAGCGUUAAUCGGAAUUACUGGGCGUAAAGCGUGCGCAGGCGGUUCGCUAAGACAGAUGUGAAAAUCCCCGGGCUUAACCUGGGAACUGCAUUUGUGACUGGCAAGCUAGAGUAUGGCAGAGGGGGGUAGAAUUCCACGUGUAGCAGUGAAAUGCGUAGAGAUGUGGAGGAAUACCGAUGGCGAAGGCAGCCCCCUGGGCCCAAUACUGACGCUCAUGCACGAA
rnacentral:rRNA from 1 species